rnacentral:rRNA from 1 species
GAUGAACGCUAGCGGCAGGCCUAAUACAUGCAAGUCGGACGGGAUCCGUCGGAGAGCUUGCUCGAAGACGGUGAGAGUGGCGCACGGGUGCGUAACGCGUGAGCAACCUACCUCUAUCAGGGGGAUAGCCUCUCGAAAGAGAGAUUAACACCGCAUAAUAUCAACAGUUCGCAUGUUCGGUUGAUUAAAUAUUUAUAGGAUAGAGAUGGGCUCGCGUGACAUUAGCUAGUUGGUAGGGUAACGGCUUACCAAGGCGACGAUGUCUAGGGGCUCUGAGAGGAGAAUCCCCCACACUGGUACUGAGACACGGACCAGACUCCUACGGGAGGCAGCAGUAAGGAAUAUUGGUCAAUGGGCGGAAGCCUGAACCAGCCAUGCCGCGUGCAGGAUGACUGCCCUAUGGGUUGUAAACUGCUUUUGUCCAGGAAUAAACCUUUCUACGUGUAGGAAGCUGAAUGUACUGGAAGAAUAAGGAUCGGCUAACUCCGUGCCAGCAGCCGCGGUAAUACGGAGGAUCCGAGCGUUAUCCGGAUUUAUUGGGUUUAAAGGGUGCGUAGGCGGNCUAUUAAAGUCAGGGGUGAAAUCCGNGGCUCAACCAUCGCAAUGCCUUUUGAUACUGAUGGGCUUGAAUNCAUUUGAAGGGGGCGGGAUAA